UGCCAGCCGCCGCGGUAACACGGGGGGCGCAAGCGUUAUUCGGAAUUAUUGGGCGUAAAGGGCGCGCAGGCGGUCUUGUCCGUCAGGUGUGAAAGCUCGGGGCUUAACCCCGGAACUGCCCUCAAAACUGUCGAUCUAGAGACCGGGAGAGGUAAGCGGAAUUCCUAGUGUAGAGGUGAAAUUCGUAGAUAUCAGGAGGAACACCGAUGGCGAAGGCAUCUCUCUGGGCCGAUAUUGACGCUGAGGCGCGAAGGCGUGGGUAGCGAACGGGAUUAGAUA
rnacentral:rRNA from 1 species